rnacentral:ncRNA from 5 species
CUAGCACCAUCUGAAAUCGGUUAU